rnacentral:Y_RNA from 1 species
CUCUGGUCCCAGGGUUGCCUGUCUACAGCUAAUUGAUCACAACCAGUUACAGAUAUCUUUGUUCCUUCUUCACUCCCACUGCUUCACUUGACUAGCUUUAA